UACGAGGGGGGGCGAGCGUUGUCCGGAAUUAUUGGGCGUAAAGAGCUUGUAGGCGGUUUGUCGCGUCUGCCGUGAAAAUUCGAGGCUCAACCUCGAACUUGCGGUGGGUACGGGCAGACUAGAGUGUGGUAGGGGAGACUGGAAUUCCUGGUGUAGCGGUGAAAUGCGCAGAUAUCAGGAGGAACACCGAUGGCGAAGGCAGGUCUCUGGGCCACUACUGACGCUGAGAAGCGAAAGCAUGGGGAGCGAACAGG
rnacentral:rRNA from 1 species